rnacentral:tRNA from 1 species
UAAUAUGUAGUGAAAUCACAAUAAGUUGCAAACUUAUAAAUGCUUAUAGCCGUAUUAA